rnacentral:siRNA from 1 species
UGGGUUCAACUUUAUUCCUCA